UGAACGCUGGCGGCAGGCCUAACACAUGCAAGUCGAGCGGUAACAGGGGAAGCUUGCUUCCCGCUGACGAGCGGCGGACGGGUGAGUAAUGUAUGGGGAUCUGCCCGAUGGAGGGGGAUAACCACUGGAAACGGUGGCUAAUACCGCAUAAUCUCUUAGGAGCAAAGCAGGGGAACUUCGGUCCUUGCGCUAUCGGAUGAACCCAUAUGGGAUUAGCUAGUAGGUGGGGUAAUGGCUCUC
rnacentral:rRNA from 1 species